rnacentral:rRNA from 1 species
UGGAUAACCUACCUAUAAGACUGGGAUAACUUCGGGAAACCGGAGCUAAUACCGGAUAAUAUAUUGAACCGCAUGGUUCAAUAGUGAAAGACGGUUUUGCUGUCACUUAUAGAUGGAUCCGCGUCGCAUUAGCUAGUUGGUAAGGUAACGGCUUACCAAGGCAACGAUGCGUAGCCGACCUGAGAGGGUGAUCGGCCACACUGGAACUGAGACACGGUCCAGACUCCUACGGGAGGCAGCAGCC